rnacentral:rRNA from 1 species
CAGCAGCCACGGGAAUACGAAGGGGGCUAGCGUUGUUCGGAAUUACUGGGCGUAAAGCGCACGUAGGCGGAUCGAUCAGUCAGGGGUGAAAUCCCAGGGCUCAACCCUGGAACUGCCUUUGAUACUGUCGAUCUGGAGUAUGGAAGAGGUGAGUGGAAUUCCGAGUGUAGAGGUGAAAUUCGUAGAUAUUCGGAGGAACACCAGUGGCGAAGGCGGCUCACUGGUCCAUUACUGACGCUGAGGUGCGAAAGCGUGGGGAGCAAACAGGAUUAGAUACCCCUGUAGUCCCUGUCUCUUAUAU